rnacentral:rRNA from 1 species
UACAGAGGGUGCGAGCGUUGUCCGGAAUCACUGGGCGUAAAGGGCGCGUAGGCGGCUUGAUAAGGUUGCGGUGAAAGCCCGGGGCUCAACCCCGGGUCGGCCGUGGCAACUGUCGAGCUGGAGCACUGUAGAGGCAGGUGGAAUUCCGGGUGUAGCGGUGGAAUGCGUAGAGAUCCGGAAGAACACCGGAGGCGAAGGCGGCUUGCUGGGCUUGGUCUGACGCUGAGGCGCGAAAGCGUGGGGAGCAAACAGG